AACAUCAACCGUAACGAGAUAAAACUGAAAUGCAUGGCUUUUUAAUACUUCUGUGUACAAAUUUUAAGGCUGCUUAUUGGAUCAAUUAAGGUAAACGUCAUAUUAUGCGACUACGCAUUACUUUACGGAGAGUUUACGACCUACUAGUUAAGACUUGCCUUAAGAACAGGUAGGGUUGCAUCAGCUAUGCGUAAGUUCUCACGUAAGUUAGGACGUAAAGUUCACACUAAGGACUUAGUAACUACUAGUUUGUUUGUAACUAAGUCAGUGCUUAAUUUGGUUGCACCACCUGUUCUUAAGGCAAGGAAGUAGGUGCAAUGACACUUGAAUAAGUGAACUGAUCAUGUGCGAUGCUGACCAAUAAACAAACGAGUUUACUUUAUUGUAGUUGUAGAUUAUUAUUUUUCUUUGUCUCAAGUUCAUUGCGCUGUUGACUUAAAACUGUGCAGUUGUCAGGGAGAACCUUUAAGAAUGUGAUGUUUUUUUUUUUCUUCUUGAUUUGACAGAGGUGUGCCACAGCAGCAGAUCUUCAAGCAACACACCAUACCUGGGAGCCCGCGACUCAUUGUGCUUGGAGACACCUUGAUAAGCGGGCGCUGGAUGCUGAGCAUUGAAGGUGAGGUUGUGUGUGAGGGCACUCAGCCCACCUCCCUGUCUGGCCUUGCCACACUUUUUGCAGCAUACUACAUAUUCAACCUUGAGUACCAGGAGGAGGCGGCGUGUACAUUGGAGUUCAUUUAAAGGCAAAGGUUGAAUUCUAACAACAUCAGAACCUGCCUUUUAUAUAUGCACUUUGUAGGCAUUAACCCUGGGAGAGGGACAAAGUCAAAAGGAAAAGUGACAUCUAAAACCACGGGGCUUGUACAGAAGAAACGGGUUGCAGUGAACCCGCACAUCUCCACUCUACUCUGCAAACUGAUGGACUACCAGGGGAAUUUCUGAAAUGGUAAGAAGAAUCAGACACAUGCACACCAAGAUCUCUUCCCCCCCCCCCCUCUGUGUGUGCGCAUAUGAUUUGAGUGAGUGUGAAGCGAGGUUGAAGAGUGUUUGA